rnacentral:rRNA from 1 species
GACGUAGGGCGCGAGCGUUGUCCGGAUUUAUUGGGCGUAAAGAGCUCGUAGGCGCUUGUCGCGUCGACUGUGAAAUCCCGCGGCUCAACUGCGGGUCUGCAGUCGAUACGGGCAGGCUAGAGUUCGGUAGGGGAGACUGGAAUUCCUGGUGUAGCGGUGAAAUGCGCAGAUAUCAGGAGGAACACCGGUGGCGAAGGCGGGUCUCUGGGGCCGAUACAUGACGCUGAGGAGCGAAAGCGUGGGGAGCGAACAGG